UUUGACCUCAAAUCAGGUAGGACUACCCGCUGAACUUAAGCAUAUCAAUAAGCGGAGGAAAAGAAACUAACAAGGAUUCCCCUAGUAACUGCGAGUGAAGCGGGAAAAGCUCAAAUUUGAAAUCUGGCAGUCUUUUUUUUCUUCUUUGGCUGUCCGAGUUGUAAUCUAGAGAAGUGCUUACCUGCACUGGACCAUGUAUAAGUCUCCUGGAAUGGAGCGUCACAGAGGGUGAGAAUCCCGUCUUUGACAUGGACUGCCAGUGUGUUGUGGUGUGCUCUCAAAGAGUCGAGUUGUUUGGGAAUGCAGCUCUAAAUGGGUGGUAAACUCCAUCUAAAGCUAAAUAUUG
rnacentral:rRNA from 1 species